UGAGUAAUGCAUCGGAACAUGUCCAGUCGUGGGGGAUAGCCCGCCGAAAGGCGGAUUAAUACCGCAUACGCCCGGGAGGGGAAAGCAGGGGACCGCAAGGCCUUGCGCGAUUGGGUUGGCCGAUGUCCGAUUAGCUAGUUGGUGGGGUAAAGGCUUACCAAGGCGAUGAUCGGUAGCUGGUCUGAGAGGAUGAUCAGCCACACUGGGACUGAGACACGGCCCAGACUCCUACGGGAGGCAGCAGU
rnacentral:rRNA from 1 species